UCUCAGUUCGGAUCGGAGUCUGNAACCCGACUCCGUGAAGCUGGAUUCGCUAGUAAUCGCGCAUCAGCCAUGGCGCGGUGAAUACGUUCCCGGGCCUUGUACACACCGCCCGUCAAGCCAUGGAAGCCGGGGGCGCUUGAAGUGCGUUGCCGCAAGGCGCGCCCUAGAGCGAAACCGGUGACUGGGGCUAAGUCGUAACAAGGUAGC
rnacentral:rRNA from 1 species